ACAUAGGGUGCAAGCGUUGUCCGGAAUUAUUGGGCGUAAAGAGCUCGUAGGUCGUUUGUUACGUCGGAUGUGAAAACCUGAGGCUCAACCUCAGGCCUGCAUUCGAUACGGGCAAACUAGAGUUUGGUAGGGGAGACUGGAAUUCCUGGUGUAGCGGUGGAAUGCGCAGAUAUCAGGAGGAACACCAAUGGCGAAGGCAGGUCUCUGGGCCAACACUGACACUGAGGAGCGAAAGUCUGGGGAGCGAACAGGAUUAGAUACCCUGGUAGUCCAGACCGUAAACGGUGGGCACUAGUUGUGGGAACCUUCCACGGUUUCUGCGACGCAGCUAACGCAUUAAGUGCCCCGCCUGGGGAGUACGAUCGCAAGAUUA
rnacentral:rRNA from 1 species